rnacentral:rRNA from 1 species
UACGAAGGGGGGCUAGCGUUGCUCGGAAUCACUGGGCGUAAAGCGCACGUAGGCGGCUUUUUUAAGUCAGGGGUGAAAUCUCCGGGCUUAACUCGGAGCGGUCAAGUGAUACUGUUGUGCUAGAGUGCGGAAGGGGCUACUGGAAUUCUCGGUGUAGCGGUGAAAUGCGUAGAUAUCGAGAGGAACACCUGCGGCGAAGGCGGGUAGCUGGGCCGACACUGACGCUGAAGCGCGAAAGCUAGGGGAGCGAACGGG